GAUCAUGACUCAGGACGAACGCUGGCGGCGCGCCUAACACAUGCAAGUCGAACGAGCGAGAGAAAGCUUGCUUUCUCGAGCGAGUGGCGAACGGGUGAGUAACGCGUGAGGAACCUGCCUCAAAGAGGGGGACAACAGUUGGAAACGACUGCUAAUACCGCAUAAGCCCACAGGUCGGCAUCGACCAGAGGGAAAAGGAGCAAUCCGCUUUGAGAUGGCCUCGCGUCCGAUUAG
rnacentral:rRNA from 1 species